rnacentral:precursor_RNA from 11 species
ACUGUGACGAGGCCCAGAAUGCUUUGCUAAAGCUGGUAAAAUGGAACCAAAUCAACUGUUCAAUGGAUUUGGUCCCCUUCAACCAGCUGUAGCUGUGCAUUGAUCACACUCCCGGUGGCG